AGUGAACGCUGGCGGUAGGCCUAACACAUGCAAGUCGAACGGCAGCACAGGAGAGCUUGCUCUCUGGGUGGCGAGUGGCGGACGGGUGAGGAAUACAUCGGAAUCUACUCUGUCGUGGGGGAUAACGUAGGGAAACUUACGCUAAUACCGCAUACGACCUACGGGUGAAAGCAGGGGAUCUUCGGACCUUGCGCGAUUGAAUGAGCCGAUGUCGGAUUAGAUAGUUGGCGGGGUAAUGGCCCACCAAGGCGACGAUCCGUAGCUGGUCUGAGAAGAUGAUCAGACAGACCGGAAAUGAGACACGGGCCAGACUCCUACGGGAGGCAGUAGUGGGGAAUAUUGGACAAUGGGCGCAAGCCUGACCCAGCCAUACCGCGUGGGUGAAGAAGGCCUUCGGGUUGUAAAGCCCUUUUGUUGGGAAAGAAAUCCAGCUGGCUAAUACCCGGUUGGGAUGACGGUACCCAAAGAAUAAGCACCGGCUAAUUUCGUGCCAGCAGCCGCCGUAA
rnacentral:rRNA from 1 species